CACGUAGGCGGCCCGCCAAGCGUCUUGUGAAAUCCCUCGGCUCAACCGAGGAAUUGCAGGGCGAACUGGCGAGCUUGAGACAGGCAAGGGUGCGUGGAACUCUUGGUGGAGCGGUGAAAUGCGUAGAUAUCAAGAGGAACGCCGGUGGCGAAAGCGAUGCACUAGGCCUGACCUGACGCUGAGGUGCGAAAGCUAGGGUAGCGAACAGGAUUAGAUACCCUGGUAGUCC
rnacentral:rRNA from 1 species